rnacentral:piRNA from 1 species
UCUCCUUCCGUACAUAUCUCA